GCGCCCGUAGCUCAACGGAUUAGAGUGUCUGGCUUCGAACCAGAAGGUCGCAGGUUCGAAUCCUGCCGGGCGUACCA
rnacentral:tRNA from 1 species